rnacentral:rRNA from 1 species
CACGUAGGGUGCGAGCGUUGUCCGGAAUUAUUGGGCGUAAAGAGCUCGUAGGCGGUGUGUCGCGUCGGCCGUGAAAACCUGCAGCUUAACUGUGGGCUUGCGGUCGAUACGGGCAUCACUGGAGUUCGGCAGGGGAGACUGGAAUUCCUGGUGUAGCGGUGAAAUGCGCAGAUAUCAGGAGGAACACCGAUGGCGAAGGCAGCUCGCUGGGACGGUACUGACGC